UACGGGGGGAGCAAGCGUUGUUCGGAUUUACUGGGCGUAAAGGGCGCGUAGGCGGCCACUGCAAGUCAGUUGUGAAAUCUCCGGGCUUAACCCGGAAAGGUCAGCUGAUACUGCAGGGCUAGAGUGCAGAAGGGGCAACUGGAAUUCUCGGUGUAGCGGUGAAAUGCGUAGAUAUCGAGAGGAACACCUGCGGCGAAGGCGGGUUGCUGGGCUGACACUGACGCUGACAGCGCGAAAGCUAGGGGAGCGAACGGG
rnacentral:rRNA from 1 species